rfam:Brachypodium distachyon strain Bd21 chromosome 2, whole genome shotgun sequence.
AUUCUACUCCCUCCGUCCAACAAAGGAUGUUGAAAUUUUGACUAAAUUUCAAUGCAUCUAUACACUAAGUCAUGUCUAGCUACAUCCAAAUUUUGACAAAUUUAAGACAUCUUUUGUUGAACGGAGGGAGUACUAC